CUUCGAUUCCGGAACCGAUUCCGGAGUCGAUUCCGGAACCGAUUCCGAUUCCGGAGCCGAUUCCGGAGUCGAUUCCGGAACCGAUUCCU
rnacentral:pre_miRNA from 1 species